CCACUAUUAAACUCUCAUAAGAAGCGAAGCCAUGCUACUGAAAAAAGUAGAAAUGAAAACAAAAUAAGUGUUGGCACUGUAAAACUGCAGAAUGAGUGCAAAAAACAAAAUAAGGUCUGCAGCACAAUACAUCAAAAAGAAAUUAAAGGCACAAAUAAGAACAAAAGUGCAUGUCAUAAAGAUAAGCAAACAAUGGAUGGCUGUAUGAAUGAGCUUGAUGAUACUGCCUACAACAGGUUGUGGACAAUGAGAGGAUUUGGUCAAGCGUACCACUUUUGGAAAGAAUCACGUCGAGCAAACUCACCUGCACUUCAUGCCUACCUCACAUACAUUACACUGCCUUGGCAUUCCAUCAUUGCAGAUAUUUUAGAUUCUAAAGAGCAACCAGUAUUGACUUUCUAGCAUCUGAAAGUAUUAUAGAGGUUUCUAUUAAUGAAAUGAGGGGGAAAAUGUGAUUUUAAUUCUUAUGUCUGAAUUUUCUAUGCAAUAAGUAUGUAUUUGUAUAUAUUUUUAUUUAACUAUAUUUCUAGUCAGAAUGUGACAUGAAACACUUUGUCAAUAUAUUUUUUAAAAAAAAUGUUUAAGACAUGAAUGUGAUUUCAGUAAUAAUUUAUAAGUUACGAAUAUACUGAAAAUAUAUAUAGAAAUAUAUAUAGAUAUAAAAUUAUAAAGGGACUGUAAAAAGAAACCAUCUGAUUAUAUUCUUUUUUAUAUGUGAAGUUUAAAAUGUCUUUCCUUUGAUUACUUAAUAAUGUGUGCCAAUUAUAUUUUAAGUUAUAAACUGUGUUAAAAAAGUGUGUUUCAGCUUUUUCACAUUUUAUGCACCUAUUUAUGUUUUAGAUGUUAUAUACUUUUGCCUACUAAAUUUUAAUUUUGAAUUUCUGUUUAUUUUACUUGGUGCUAUAAAAUAAGUAUAUGGAUACUGUGUUAUAUAUGUGUACAGCUAGAAUUUAUGUGUAUAAUUAGAAGAAUCAUAUCCAUUCUUUGUAGAAUAGAAUAAUUCAUAUUUUAAUAUAUAAAUGUAUAAGAACAAUGCUGUUCAAGUUAUUUUGAGGUGUGAUGUGUGUUUAUUAUUCCAAACUAUUUUAAAUACACCACAUCAUUUUACAACAAUAUUACUUAUUUGAAUAUAGUUGCAAUAUAUUUCAUUCAAAUUUAUGGUUAUUUCAUAAUUUUAAAAUGUAUGAAAUAAGUGGUUUUUUUAUAAGAAUGCUUUAUCUUUUGUUUAUUAAAUGUGCAGUUUGAAUAAGAUCCAUUAUUAUACAUUUGAUUGUUUAUCUGUUAAGUAAUAUUUCAAUUUAUAUACAAUGAAGCCUUGGUUUAUGAGUUUAAUUCAUUCCUGAUGUUUAUCUGUUAAGUAAUAUUGUAAUUUAUAUACAAUGAAGCCUUGGUUCAUGAGUUUAAUUCAUUCCUGAAGCCUUUCAUGAAUUGAAACAAUUUUCUACAUAGGAAUUCAUGUAAAAUGGAUUAAUUAAUUUUUGGGCCACAGAUGACUGCUAAGUUAAACGUCACAAUUUGUGCACAAGUUUGUUACUCAGAUCAAAUAAAAAUCCAAAAAUGUAUUGGGGGGAACACAAUAUUAAGCAGAUAAAAUAGAUGGAAAUGUAAUUUUACCAUGUCUGUACAAAGGAGAGUGGACACUAUAUGUGGAAAUUGUUGAGGAAAAUGUUAUUGUUUGGAUGCAAAAUUCACUUCCAUAAAACACCAGGGGUUAUUUUUUUUUCUCCCUCCUUCCUUCCUUUCCUUUUUUUUUUUUUUUUGAUAGCAUCUCCUUCCAAAAUCAAUUUUUGUUGCAUCUUCUGAAGUUGUAGUUUUUUCAUGUUGAACUCAUUUUUAUGAUCCUCUAGUAACUUCUCUACAUCUUCAUUGUUAACUUCCUAGCCUAUGAUUUUGCCUAGAAAUACAAUUUCAUAGAUAACAAAAAACGUCCUAAAAGUCUUUGUCUGCAAUCCAGUCAUGUUCUCCAGGCAAUCGUGAUUCAAAAGUUAUUGCUGUUUGGCUUUGUUAAUGAGAGUAAGCAAUGGGAAAUAUUAAAAUGUUUCCAGAAGUUCUUGAGUGUUAAUAAUAUGGCACAGCUAACAUCAAAACACCUUGUGAUAUUAAAUAGUUCUUAAGAAAGAUUUUGCAAAGUUGCCAGUUUCUGUGAAUUUGCAUUUUUUUUAAUUAGUUGUUGUUAUAAGGAUUUAAUUCUAAAAAGCUACAGGAAAAAUUAUGAUGAAUAACUUUGUUAGCAUAAUGAUAAAAAUUUAUCUGUAGGAGAAAACGUUCUGAGCAUAAUUCUGAAGCAAAGAAAGAGUUAUACAUAUAGAUAUUAUCUUAAAAAAUAUUGUAUCUUCGAAAAAGUGGUGCAUUAUGUAUUAUAUUUUUUUUUUUUUUUUUUUUUGUUUACUAUACUCUUCAGAAAAUAAUUAUAGGAAGUAGAAGUAUCUGACAUUAAGUAGUCAUGGAGUAAAAUAUGAACUGAAUGAAAUGAAAAUUUUAAACUAUUAUGAAUUACCAGUUAUUCAUAUUGUUGCGUGCGUACGGGCUCGUUAUGAAAUGAAUGCACAAGUCCGAUGAAAAAUGAACAAA